AUGUCUGGAAAAUUGACUAUCUGCAAAGGAUUGCAAGAACAUGGACAGAAAUAUUGCAAAAACAUGGACAGAAGAGGAAGCACAGGACAGUCUGUGAAGCAAACAACUGGUAUUGUGACAGUGAUAGCAGGAGAAUCUGUCUUUCUCAAUUGUUCCUAUGAAGCACAAAUUAGUAGCUCAUCUUCCACAUACUGGUACAUUCAACAACCUGGUCAGCCUCUGAAGCUCUUGUUGACAGAGUAUGAAAAUGAUGCCCAAGGCUUCCAUGCUACUCAUGAUGAAGGAAAGAAAAGUGGGACUUUCAAUUCAGAGAAAGAUGCCAGUCAGCUGAAGGACUCUGCUGUCUACUUCUGUGCCUUCAGAGAGACACAAUGA